UCCUAGCCCGGAUAGCAACGGGUACCCCGCAACUAGAAGUGGAAAUGGUGAGGUUUCGGUGUGGGAUUGCGUUGGCGUGAGGAGUAUGAGUGGAUAGCCGGAAAAAGC
rnacentral:misc_RNA from 1 species